rnacentral:misc_RNA from 1 species
CGCGUUUGGUUUACACUGCCAAGCCCCCAUUUGGUUAAAAAGCCUACGUGCAUCUUCCAAACGACCUACUUUGCCCAGAAUAUUAAUCAAAUUGUUAAUGACCACAACAUCAGGCUUGCAGCCUUCCUUUAACAUAUCCAAGAACACACUGUAAGCAUCAUCAGCCUUCCCAGCUUUUCCAAGGCCCUUAAUCCACUCUGUGUAAGUAAAGACAGUAGGGGUGCAACCCUUAUUUUUCAUCUCCUGGAUCAAAUCCAAAGCUUUCUCAACCUUAUCUAACUUAA